UCUCGAUAGCGUAAAAGUUAACUCAAAUUUGUAUGGAGUUCGAACGUUUGCCUACGUUAGCCGCUAGGGGUGCUGUUCCAACUGCAUACUGUGAGUUAACUUUUACGCUAUCGA
rnacentral:pre_miRNA from 9 species